rnacentral:rRNA from 1 species
GUGGGGAAUAUUGCACAAUGGAGGAAACUCUGAUGCAGCAACGCCGCGUGAGUGAUGAAGGUCUUCGGAUUGUAAAGCUCUGUCUUCUGGGACGAUAAUGACGGUACCAGAGGAGGAAGCCACGGCUAACUACGUGCCAGCAGCCGCGGUAAUACGUAGGUGGCAAGCGUUGUCCGGAUUUACUGGGCGUAAAGGAUGUGUAGGCGGAUAUUUAAGUGAGAUGUGAAAUCCCCGGGCUUAACUUGGGGGCUGCAUUUCAAACUGGAUAUCUAGAGUGCAGGAGAGGAAAGCAGAAUUCCUAGUGUAGCGGUGAAAUGCGUAGAGAUUAGGAAGAAUACCAGUGGCGAAGGCGGCUUUCUGGACUGUAACUGACGCUGAGGCAUGAAAGCGUGGGGAGCAAACAGGAUUAGAUACCCCAGUAGUCC